AGUCGCGUGACCGAGAGGAUAGGUUAAGGUCUGCAAAACCUUCUACGGCAGUUCGAAUCUGCCCGCGACGU
rfam:Mucilaginibacter lappiensis strain ATCC BAA-1855 genome assembly, contig: Ga0104715_105